CCUCUUUUACCUUCCACGAUCUCUCUCUCUCUCUCUCUCUCUCUCUCUCUCAACCAAUUGUACGAGCGCCGUUCAUUGAUCUUGACAGCGUUAAGAGGCAGGAGAAGCCCGUCACUGUGAUUUGCCAUUGAUUGAUCUUGGUCAUCGGCCACUUGCUCCGCUGUUGCUUUGGUCAUCGAUUGACUUGAAAUCAAACAGAGGUCUCGUCUGGAUUGUCAAGAUCAAUUAUCUAAGUUGAGCUUAUUGUUGAUCUGUUUAAUGGGCGCUUGUGUUCUCCCGAUUGCCGCCGACAACUCCACCUCUCUCUACCAGUUCAAUGUGUUCAACUCUUGCUGGCCGUGAGUUAGUUGCAGUUUGAUAGGUCACAUACCAAGACUAGUAUAGACUAGCUGCGAUGAGGCAUUGGUGACAUAACAACUCAAAUAUAGGGAAACUGGGGCAACAUAUUAUGCAGGAACAUGUUGUAGGAGCAAUGCUUUUUGAGGUAUGCUUUCAAUGAUGAAAAGACUUCUUUUGUCCAAGGGAGAAAGGAAAGAAGAAGUUACUGGAGAAGUUGUCAUCACAGGUCUUAGUGCGUCUUCCAGACUUUUUCGGCUGAAGGAAUGCAAAAAAUUUUAGGUUGAGGGAAGCUGGAUUAGCUCGGUGAAUCAUUAUGUAGGGGAAUUUAUUUGUAUUUCGUACAUACUUUUCGUGUCGAAAGAUAACUUGAACACGUGUAUUAGAGAGUGUUUGUAAUUUUAUAAUUUUCAAUAUAUAGACUCUUUUUUACAUUAGUGGAUGACUUUAUCUUUUUU